rnacentral:tRNA from 1 species
GCCUGGCUGGCUCAGUCGGUAGAGCAUGUGACUCUUGAUCUCAGGGUCGUGAGUUUGAGCCCCAUGUUGGGUG